rnacentral:rRNA from 1 species
GACGAACGCUGGCGGCGUGCCUAACACAUGCAAGUCGAGCGAGGAGAGUUCCUUCGGGAACAAACCUAGCGGCGGACGGGUGAGUAACACGUGGGCAACCUGCCUUGUAGAGGGGAAUAGCCUUCCGAAAGGAAGAUUAAUACCGCAUAACAUUACAGUUUCGCAUGAAACAGUAAUUAAAGGAGUAAUCCGCUACAAGAUGGGCCCGCGGCGCAUUAGCUAGUUGGUGAGGUAACGGCUCACCAAGGCGACGAUGCGUAGCCGACCUGAGAGGGUGAUCGGCCACAUUGGGACUGAGACACGGCCCAGACUCCUACGGGAGGCAGCAGUGGGGAAUAUUGCACAAUGGGGGAUACCCUGAUGCAGCAACGCCGCGUGAGUGAUGAAGGUUUUCGGAUCGUAAAGCUCUGUCUUCGGGGACGAUAAUGACGGUACCCGAGGAGGAAGCCACGGCUAACUACGUG